rnacentral:rRNA from 1 species
GAUGAACGCUGGCGGCGUGCCUAAUACAUGCAAGUCGAGCGAACGGACGAGAAGCUUGCUUCUCUGAUGUUAGCGGCGGACGGGUGAGUAACACGUGGAUAACCUACCUAUAAGACUGGGAUAACUUCGGGAAACCGGAGCUAAUACCGGAUAAUAUUUUGAACCGCAUGGUUCAAAAGUGAAAGACGGUCUUGCUGUCACUUAUAGAUGGAUCCGCGCUGCAUUAGCUAGUUGGUAAGGUAACGGCUUACCAAGGCAACGAUGCAUAGCCGACCUGAGAGGGUGAUCGGCCACACUGGAACUGAGACACGGUCCAGACUCCUACGGGAGGCAGCAGUAGGGAAUCUUCCGCAAUGGGCGAAAGCCUGACGGAGCAACGCCGCGUGGGUGAUGAAGGUAUUCGGAUCGUAAAACUCUGUUAUUAGGGAAGAACAUAUGUGUAAGUAACUGUGCACAUCUUGACGGUACCUAAUCAGAAAGCCACGGCUAACUACGUG